rnacentral:rRNA from 1 species
AGUGAACGCUGGCGGUAGGCCUAACACAUGCAAGUCGAACGGCAGCACAGUAAGAGCUUGCUCUUACGGGUGGCGAGUGGCGGACGGGUGAGGAAUACAUCGGAAUCUACUUUUUCGUGGGGGAUAACGUAGGGAAACUUACGCUAAUACCGCAUACGACCUACGGGUGAAAGCAGGGGAUCUUCGGACCUUGCGCGAUUGAAUGAGCCGAUGUCGGAUUAGCUAGUUGGCGGGGUAAAGGCCCACCAAGGCGACGAUCCGUAGCUGGUCUGAGAGGAUGAUCAGCCACACUGGAACUGAGACACGGUCCAGCCUCCUACGGGAGGCAGCAGUGGGGAAUAUUGGAAAAUGGGCGCAAGCCUGAUCCAGCCAUACAGCGUGGGUGAAGAAGGCCUUCGGGUUGUAAGCCCUUUUGUUGGGAAAGAAAAGCAGCAGGUUAAUACCCCGCUGUUCUGACGGUACCCAAAGAAUAAGCACCGGCUAACUUCGUG